AGCGUUAAAUUUUCUCUAAAAUAAAAGUAGAAUCGAUUACUGUAAAAGUUAUGUGUUAGUUUUGAAAGUGUUUUUCGCCUACUUAGAGUGUAUAUUUAAAAGUUUUUCUUUUCAACACAAACAUUGUAAAAUUGUCAAACCACCUAUUUCAAAAUACUUUUUUUUCUGUUCUGUCAGUGACAGUUGUUGUUCAUGAUCGCUUGCCGGAGGAUGUGGUCUGCUUUUAUUUUUUUCGAUAAUAAUAAAUUAAACAAAAUCUUAAGUUUUCCGAUGGCACCGUGGUAAAUUUUAACGACACAGAGUCUAAGAUCUUUCAUCAUCCGAUUCAAAAUGCUAUCUUGGCGAGAAACAUCAAAUUUUUUACAUAAUGUUGUUGCAGAAAAUAACUCUUGGAACCAAAAGGAAAAAACCCUUAGCGCAAUCUGUGAACUCCAACGAGUGCACGUAAAAAAAU